rnacentral:rRNA from 1 species
AUUGAACGCUGGCGGCAUGCCUUACACAUGCAAGUCGAACGGCAGCACGGGUGCUUGCACCUGGUGGCGAGUGGCGAACGGGUGAGGAAUACAUCCGAACGUCCCUUAUCGUGGGGGAUAACGCAGCGAAAGCUGUCCUAAUACCGCAUAGGCCCUGAGGGGGAAAGCGGGGGAUCGAAGGACCUCGCGCGAUCAUACCGGCAGAUGCCUGAUUAGCUUGUGGGUGGGGUAAAAGCGCACCAAGGCGACGACCAGUAGCUGGUCUGAGAGGACGAUCAGCCACACUGGGACUGAGACACGGCCCAGACUCCUACGGGAGGCAGCAGUGGGGAAUUUUGGACAAUGGGGGCAACCCUGAUCCAGCAUUGCCGCGUGAGUGAAGAAGGCCUUCGGGUUGUAAAGCUCUUUUGUCAGGGAAGAAACACCGGCUCUAACACAGUCCGGGAAUGACGGUACCUGAAGAAUAAGCACCGGCUAACUACGUGCCAGCAGCCGCCGUAA